rfam:Candidatus Desantisbacteria bacterium CG2_30_40_21 cg2_3.0_scaffold_8001_c, whole genome shotgun sequence.
GUUGAAGAGCCUAAUCCAUUAAAACAAGGAUUGAAAC